UACGGAGGGUGCAAGCGUUAAUCGGAAUUACUGGGCGUAAAGCGUGCGUAGGCGGUUCGUUAAGUCUGCUGUGAAAGCCCCCGGGCUCGACCUGGGAAUGGCAGUGGAUACUGGCGAGCUAGAGUGUGAUAGAGGAUGGUGGAAUUCCCGGUGUAGCGGUGAAAUGCGUAGAGAUCGGGAGGAACAUCAGUGGCGAAGGCGGCCAUCUGGAUCAACACUGACGCUGAGGCACGAAAGCGUGGGGAGCAAACAGG
rnacentral:rRNA from 1 species